rnacentral:rRNA from 1 species
AGGUCUUGCCUGCCCAGUGACAAGUUAAACGGCCGCGGUAUUUUGACCGUGCGAAGGUAGCGCAAUCACUUKUCUUUUAAAUGAAGACCCGUAUGAAUGGCGGAACGAGGGCUUAACUGUCUCCCUUUUCAAGUCAAUGAAAUUGAUCUGCCCGUGCAGAAGCGGACAUAUAAAUACAAGACGAGAAGACCCUUUGGAGCUUAAGAUACAAGAUCAACUACGUCAAGGGCCCUUAAAUUUAAGCCAAACUAAGUAACAUCUGACCUAUAUCUUCGGUUGGGGCGACCACGGGAGAAAACAAAGCUCCCAUGCGGACCGGGGUUAUACCCUAAAACCAAGAAAGACAUUUCUAAGUCACAGAACAUCUGACCACAAAGAUCCGGCUUACCGGCCGAUCAACGGACCAAGUUACCCUAGGGAUAACAGCGCAAUCCCCUUUCAGAGUCCAUAUCGACAAGGGGGUUUACGACCUCGAUGUUGGAUCAGGACAUCCUAAUGGUGCAGCCGCUAUUAAGGGUUCGUUUGUUCAACGAUUAAAGUCCUACGUGAUCU